rnacentral:rRNA from 1 species
AUGAACGCUGGCGGCGUGCUUAACACAUGCAAGUCGAACGGGAAACCUUUUAUUGAAGCUUCGGCAGAUUUAGCUGGUUUCUAGUGGCGGACGGGUGAGUAACGCGUGGGUAACCUGCCUUAUACAGGGGGAUAACAGUCAGAAAUGACUGCUAAUACCGCAUAAGCGCACAGGACCGCAUGGUCCGGUGUGAAAAACUACGGUGGUAUAAGAUGGACCCGCGUUGGAUUAGCUUGUUGGUGGGGUAACGGCCCACCAAGGCGACGAUCCAUAGCCGGCCUGAGAGGGCGAACGGCCACAUUGGGACUGAGACACGGCCCAGACUCCUACGGGAGGCAGCAGUGGGGAAUAUUGCACAAUGGGGGAAACCCUGAUGCAGCGACGCCGCGUGAAGGAAGAAGUAUCUCGGUAUGUAAACUUCUAUCAGCAGGGAAGAAAAUGACGGUACCUGACUAAGAAGCCCCGGCUAACUACGUGCCAGCAGCCGCGGUAAUACGUAGGGGGCAAGCGUUAUCCGGAUUUACUGGGUGUAAAGGGAGCGUAGACGGAUGGACAAGUCUGAUGUGAAAGGCUGGGGCUCAACCCCGGGACUGCAUUGGAAACUGCCCGUCUUGAGUGCCGGAGAGGUAAGCGGAAUUCCUAGUGUAGCGGUGAAAUGCGUAGAUAUUAGGAGGAACACCAGUGGCGAAGGCGGCUUACUGGACGGUAACUGACGUUGAGGCUCGAAGCGUGGGGAGCAAAC